CUCCGAAACAUGUUUCUGAAUUCAAUUUAAGCGGGAAAUAAGCUGUGCAGUUGCUGAAUAUGUCUUCAUUUCAGAUCAAUCAAAGGUCAGAUUUUUCU